rnacentral:lncRNA from 1 species
AGGGAGGAGGUCCUGCAGUCACUGGGGUCUCAUAAGUCAUGAGAGUCAUGCUGCUCUCUCAAACCUACAUAGCUACAAGUAGUGGGUAUGUGCCUUGCACACGCCACUUAACCUCUCCCAGCCUUGGAGGUUUCUUCCGCCUAAAGUAGGAAAUCUUUUCUUGGCACUAAAAGAAAGACACAAUGGCUGGGCACGGUGGCUCAUGCCUGUAAUCCCAGCACUUUGGGAGGCCAAGGCAGGUGGAUCACGAAGUCAGGAGUUCAAGACCAGCGAGACUCUGUCUCAAAGAAAAAAAAAAAAAAGGAAAAUACAAUUUAUUACCAAGACUAUGAGGACAACACCUUGUGGCCAGGAAAGGUGCAAUCCAUCAUUGUUUUCUAGUUGGUUGUUAAGAUUUCUGUGAUGAAUACAACUCAACAUCAGGU